rnacentral:rRNA from 1 species
GCAACUCGACUACAUGAAGCUGGAAUCGCUAGUAAUCGCAGAUCAGAAUGCUGCGGUGAAUACGUUCCCGGGUCUUGUACACACCGCCCGUCACACCAUGGGAGGUCGGAAAUGCCCGAAGCCGGUGACCCAACCAAAAGGAGGGAGCCGUCGAAGGCAGGUCUGAUAACUGGGGUGAAGUCGUAACAAGGUAAC